ACUUAUAUUUUCUCUAUGAAUAUGCUAUUCAAGAUCACAUCGACUAAAUUCGAAAUAAACCAUUACACUAUAAUUUGACUUCCAUAUGCUACAUGAGGAAAGAUGAUUACGAGCUUGCGUAAAUACUCAAAAGUCAAUGAAAGAUCGAAACAAUGUCACCUCAAUAAAGAACUUGUGGAGUUAAGAUGAUUCGCAUUUCUAGCGUUCCUUGUCAACACCCGUGGAAGCGUCCAACCUUGAAACGUCUCGUGUCCUCGGUCGAAGCACCGGCCCACGGAAUUUGACGUCUUCACCGUUUGUCUGUGCCUGCAAACAGUGCCAUUCGUAUCAAAUCAACACCGUUUGGUGCGCGAAAUAAAAAAAUCACCAAGAAUUGCUCCUUCGUCGUCUUCAAUCGUGACGUGCUGACCGAAGCACAGCCACCCAUUAUAACGAGAGGCCACCUAACGAAAAUUCGCAUAUCUUCGCUGGUUGUGGAAGAAUCAUCGCAAUAACAUCACUCCCUGGUUUUGCUCGGAUCUUCUUGUUAAGAGUUUUCUUAAUGGAGAACAACAACUAUCCGCAAAAUAAUCCGGGUUUCCCUUACUUCCCUCCUCCAUCGGGAUGGAUCGAUCCGAAUUCGGUAUCGUACGACGACGACGACAACGUCCCGGCGUGGGUCAUCGUCUGCAUAGUCCUUGUCAUCGUCAUACUCUUGGGUUUCCUUUUCUACUACAUCCGGAAGCGAGAGAUCAGAAUCUGGAUAAAAGCCAAGGCACCUGCUCCGGCCGCAAAGCCAGCGGCGGCAGCACCUGCGAAGCCGGCUUGAUCCGACUCCACCCACCAAGCCGCUGCCACCAGUGGGCGUCCCGAUUUCGUUCCCAGGCAAUUGUGCGGCUUGCCGGCGUAGAGGAGGACUGUAUUCUUUCUCAUGUACCUGCCCUCUGUGCAAGUAUACGAUGGAACAUAAUGCAGUGUAUCCAGACAACAAAUCAGACAGAAAAUACAAUAUUGUAUUAGUUGGGAAGCUUCUGUUCAUGUUUGUGUGUUGAUACUUGAUUGAUGUACGGUGACAAAUGGUCCACUCUACUGUAUAACAUUAAAGAUUCGAUGCAAUAAAUAAUUUUUGUGUUGGACGUUUCA